CAGAGGGGAACAGUAGUUAGGAGACCUUAAAACCAAUGGUUGACGGAGAAAAUCACACCAUUUGGUGAAUAGAUUUUCAGAGAUGAUUGGCCUCUAAUCUUUUUUUUUAGUUAAUUAAAAAUUUGGAUGGAUUUAGUUCUAUUUUACUGUCAUAAGCCAAGCCAAGGUAUGCCUCGAGAUCAUAGGCUAUAGAUCCUUUGCAUGAGUUUUAUAUUGUACAUCAACAGAGUCUUUAUGUCAACGAAGGAAUAGAAAUUCGAACACGCAAUUUAUUUGAAAAAAAUGAUAUGACCUUAAAAAACUGAGAC
rnacentral:lncRNA from 1 species